GGGCCUAUAGCUCAGUUGGUUAGAGCACCUCGUUUACACCGAGGGGGUCGGGGGUUCGAGUCCCUCUGGGCCCA
rnacentral:tRNA from 4 species